rnacentral:rRNA from 1 species
UACGAAGGGGGCUAGCGUUGUUCGGAAUUACUGGGCGUAAAGGGCGCGUAGGCGGUGUGUCAAGUCAGGGCGUGCAAAGCCCCGGGCUCAACCUGGGGAAUGGCGGAUGGGUACUGGCUCGCUAGAGUGCGGUAGAGGAGAGUGGAAUUCCCGGGUGUAAGCAGUGAAAUGCGUAGAGAUCGGGAGGAACAUCAGUUGCGAAGGCGACUACCUGGCCUGUUCUUGACGCUGAGGCGCGAAAGCUAGGGGGAGCAAACGGG